rnacentral:lncRNA from 1 species
GUGACAAAACUUAAAAACAUUCUUACAAUAAGAAAACUAAUGUCUAAGAUGGCGACUUUUGCGAUUGCUGAAACAUAUGCAUCAUCUGCUGAAGCUGUAGCUGGAGGUCAUCGUAUUUUUACUCUGCUCUGCUACCAUCGCUCGUGCCUCUGCCUCUUUUGCUGCAGCUGCUGCCUCCCUCUCUGCUGCCUCCGCUCUAAGUUGUUGCUGG